UCGGUUCGGCCAUCUUGACAUGCAUCUUGCCUUGGCCACCUUGCCGUGCGUGAUCGUUGUUUGUUUUUAUUUGUGCUUUUUAAGAAUAUUUUUUAAUUCGGAUACUUUUAUAAUAACUUUAAUAGUAUUAUUAAUAUAGUGCAUAAAAUCAGUUGGAGUAGCAGAAGCAAUGUAGAUAAAAAAUCUGCAGGAAUAAUGUUUCAAAGGUUAGUAUAUUAUGCAAAUAUGUAAACAAAGGCAUGCCCCUAUUUCAGAAAAUAUCCAUUUAUUAUUUUAAUAAUUGCGAAUAAGCCACAAACUUGCUUAUUCCUAAUUAAAAUAGUAAAUAGAGAUAAUAACAAACGGAUUAUUUGUAAAAUUAAAUUUUUUUUUGCGUUUUUGCUAAUGUAUGCGUUUAUAAACAGGAUGGUAGACCACACACUAUAAUAGUACCAACUAAUGAAUACACAGUAUGAAUAGUACAGUCGGUUCGCUAAACUUAGUCUCAGACACAACUGGCUAGUGAUUUUAGUAAAUAAUUUUGACAAUUUGGUAAAAUUGGCAAAAAAAUAACUAAAUAGUUAGUAAUUUUGGCAAAAAUGGCCAAAAACAAAAAAAUUACCUACUAAAAUCACUAGCCAGUUGUGGCUAGGGAAACGACUAUACUAAUAAACAAUUUCUAAGCUGCUUUUUAUAAUAUUUUCUUUCCAGAAGAUCCUGCGAAGAAGGCAUGAAGUAUUGAUCAGAUUUGUUAAUAGAGCAGUAUGUUCAAAACAUUUUUUAGAAAAAGAUAUUGACAGAACUUCACUUUCAACCGUUUGAGAGACUGUGCUGUUCCAAUAGCUUAUAUCACACAGAAUCAGCUGAGAGAAGUGGUCUACAAAAAACCAGGAAGGAAAUGGAAUAUGUGGCUAUGAAAGGCAAAAGAAAGGUUUACAAAGCAAAUGUGACACAUUUUUUUAUAGGAAUAUCAGUAAAUUACAUUAAAAAAAUGUAUGAAAAGAUUUUUUGCAAUAAAAAUGUUUAUAUUUAUCAAGCAUGCAUUAUUUGGUAUGGCCACAUAUCGUCAGUGAUGUGACAAUACCUCCUAUCUGUUUUUUCAUGAGAUUUGUAAGAUAGACUAAAAACUUGUUUGGGCCACCUCCUGUUUUCAUAUAUUUUUUGACUUGUUUUGCAGUAAAUUUAACUAUCUAUUUACUACAAAACAAGCCAGAACUUACGUAUGCAAACAGGAGGUGACCUUAAAAAAUGUUUUUCGUCUCCUGCAAACCUCAUGAAAAAAGAUAUAG